rnacentral:misc_RNA from 3 species
CUGGAUUCGACGGGAUUCGCGAAACCCAAGGUGCAUGCCGAGGGGCGGUUGGCCUCGUUAAAAGCCGCAAAAUAAUAGUCGCAAACGACGAAAACUACGCACUAGCAGCUUAAUAACCUGCUUAGAGCCCUCUCUCCCUAGCCUCUGCUCUUAGGACGGGGAUCAAGAGAGGUCAAACCCAAAAGAGAUCGCGUGGAUGCCCUGCCUGGGGUUGAAGCGUUAAAUCCAAUCAGGCUAGUUUGUUAGUGGCGUGUCUGUCCGCAGCUGGCAAGCGAAUGUAAAGACUAGA